UUCACUCGACCGUUGUUGUCAACCGUUCUCGCGCCAUUUCGUUUCGGCAAAGUUUUACAGAAAUUUUACUUUGGUUGAGUGUUAUCUACCUCGUUGUGAAAUUUAAUUGUGUCUAAAGCCCUGAAGAAGAAUAAUGAUCUCGAGAAUUAGGAUUUUACAAGCCAAGUUCUUUACAAAAUAACUAAUGUUACUGUCGCUUAAAAUACAGAAAAUGACGCAGUCGGUAAGUAACAUGAGUUUACAGCACACCAGAGGAGAUAAAUCGCGUUUUGCUUUUCUUGUGAAAGAACACUACGAUUACACAUUCAAGGUUGCGAUAUCCUUGUUUUAUUCUGUCACGUGAAGGGGCCUCAGGUGAAUAGUUUACACAUCUAAGCAUAUAGAAAGCACACGUAUGAUUGUGCACGACACUCGCUUUAUAACUCAAGGAACACAUUGGUCUUGGUAGUUUAAGUAUCUUGAGAAGAUUUCUAAAAAAACCACUAGUGCACGACUGGUAAUGAAGCAAAUGAAGGCAAAUCAUCCCGAAGGAGAACUGGAGAGAUAGGAUCACCUGUAAAAAUGAUUGUAUCCUGAAUAAAGUAGACUUUGAGUCCCAUCUUAAUGCUACAAGCACAGAAUGGGAUAGAAGGGUGGCAACUCCUCUGAUUGUAAAAAGAUGAGGCAUGAUGGUGAUCAAGGAGAACCAUUGAGAAGCUCCUCCCCUCUAUCUUAGAGCCAUAAAACAGAAAUUUGGUGAUGCCCAAAUGAAUAAGAGGUGGUCUCAAAUAAGGCUCUACUUGAAUAAAAAAAUUGCUUGGAUUCCAAGAGAAAAGUUCAAAAUGUAGAGGGCAAUGUUGACAAGUCCGUAGACUGAAUGAACUAAGGCUUGGUUGAUAUUUGUACAAAAUUGAAACAUAUGCAAAUUUACUUGUCAAGUAGCUGUCAAAUUGACUAAAAUGCCAACUUAGAUGAGUGAUAGUGAGCUUUAAUUCUUUGAACACGUUUGCUGCAAUACAAAAUUUUGUUGUUUUUUUUUUUGUUUUCAUGCUUAAAUUACUCUAAAAAAGGAAAAACUAUUUCAGUUUGAAUCAAACGAAGAACAAUUUAAAACUGGGACAUGCCUUUAGUUAUUAUGGCUUUUUUGUAAAAGGAUAACUAUAGUAGUUCAAAUCAAACUGUCAAAUGACUCCAACAAUUAAAACAAUUGUUUUUUUAGAUUUUUAAAACACACCGAAGGGAAGAACAAGAACUCUUCUUGUACAAUUGUCAUUUAAAUCGUGCAUGUUUACCAGUUAACGUUUCU